GACUUGUGCGGAUGUGCCAGCUGGAGCUUAUGGGUUUUCCAGCUCUGGUUAAAUGAAAGGUGAAUUGUUUGUCAUCUAAUUCAGGCAGUAUCAGCCAAAUUAACUCGGCUCACCUCCUUAGCUGCUCCAAAGAGAAUGCUUGUGUGAUCCCAUCUGUUCACCACAAGAGCUUGGGAAGCAAGUAUCCCCAGAAGACAGGCUGUAAGAGACUAUUAUGGAGAGAAAUUCAUCUUGCUGCCUCACCAGCCCUGCUCUGUUUUGUUUUUGGGCUCUGACAAGAUCACAGCUUGAGGAAUAUUUUCCCAAAUCAUGGCACGACAUGAUAUACUGGCUGUAGUGUGCGUAAAUACACCUGAUCGGUGUAGAGGAUGUUCCUGCAUACUUCAGCUCCUGGCAUUCUGCUGCACACUCAAGCCAUCACAGAUUAUGUUUUCAAGGACACCUAAUCACACUGCACUUAAACAAACAACAAUGUUCAGCUACAGAGUGUUGGAAAAUCCAAGGUUAUGAGAAGAACGACAUAACACUUUAAAGGAGCAUAGUAAUCACUUUGUAAAUUCAAGUUCACUGGCAACUAUAACAGUAUCCAAAGUUAGGGAGCUUAAAACUUAGAGAUAUUGGCAUUUUUUGAUGCAAAAACCAUUCACACCUAAACAUACAUUAAACUAAAAGGACUGAAACAAACAAACAAACAAACAAAAAAACCCUACCUGUGUGUACACUACUGUUAUGUGGCAAGGCAUGCUCUUUUCUUUGCAAUAUGCAUAAUGAAAUACAAUCCCUCACCAGUUCAUCACUCAAACAGCUAAAUCUGAUUUUGCAGUGAAAAUGCAAUUUAAUCUCAUCAGGUUCCAUAGUGCUGAAAUACUAAACUUAACAAUAGAAACUGAUGUGAUAUGUUUCAAAUUAAAUUGAACCACUGCAAACAAUGGGUUCCUUCAGAUGCUGGCCUUGACUGAAUCUGUUUUUCCACUUCAUUUUGCAAAGAAAUCAUCAAGUCUAAUGGCUUCAAGCAAUCUAAGUGAUGUGCAGGUUGAAUGAAAAAAAUAAGCAGUGUCACUGAAAAAACGCCACACACAAACAAAGAGAAAUUACCACACGCUGCACUGAAGGCAUUAUCAUUUCCCCAGUCCAUCUGAAGAACUUCUAACUGAAGCAAGGAACCCAACCUUCAGCCAGUGAAGUCAAAAAAAACAUUUUGCCUUCUUUAAUGUCGGAAUAAGGCCUGAUGUCUGUAGAGCAUUGGGUGAAGGUUAGUAUUUGGCCUGAAAAUGUGCAUAAAAAGUUCUAAGUUUGAGGAUUUAUCAAACAUUAAUCCCUCACACCAAGCAGACAGAGGAAAAUAGGAUGGAAAGGAAUAGAAUAGUUCUGUUGGAAGAGACCUACAAAGAUCAUCAAAUCCAACUGCCUGACCACAGGGCUGACCAAAAUUUAAAACAUAUUAUUGAGGGAAUUGUUCAAAUGGAUCUUGAACAGGCAUGGGGCAUCAACCAUCUCCCUAAGAAGACUGUUCCAGUGCUUGACCACCCUCAAGGUGAAGAAAUUUUUCCCAGUAUCCAGCCUGAGCCUCCCCUGGCACUGCUUUGAGCCAUUCCCACACACUCUCUUGGUUACCAAUAUGGAGAGCAGCAGCUCUCCAUCUCCGCUCCUCAGGAAUUUCCCCUUUUCCCCAGAAAAAGGAGAUUAAAAAGCUCUUAUUUGACAGA